rnacentral:rRNA from 1 species
GGGGGGGGGGGGGGGGGGGGGUGGGGGGGGGGGGUGGGGGGGAGUGUGCGGGGUUGGUGGCGGGCGGGGGAGGAGCGCGUGAGAAUCUGGGUUUGGGUUGGGGACAACCACUGGAAAGGGUGGCUAAUACCGGAUGUGCCGAGAGGUAAAAGAGAAAUUGCCUGAAGAUGAGCUCGCGUCUGAUUAGCUAGUUGGUGAGGUAAAGGCUCACCAAGGCAGCGAUCAGUAGCUGGUCUGAGAGGAUGACCAGCCACACUGGGACUGAGACACGGCCCAGACUCCUACGGGAGGCAGCAGUGGGGAAUUUUCCGCAAUGGGCGAAAGCCUGACGGAGCAAUACCGCGUGAGGGAAGAAGGCUCUUGGGUUGUAAACCUCUUUUCUUAGGGAAGAACAAAAUGACGGUACCUAAGGAAUCAGCAUCGGCUAACUCCGUG